rnacentral:rRNA from 1 species
GAUGAACGCUAGCGGCAGGCUUAACACAUGCAAGUCGAGGGGUAGAAGUUGCUUGCAACUUUGAGACCGGCGCACGGGUGCGUAACGCGUAUGCAAUCUACCUUAUACAGAGGGAUAGCCCAGAGAAAUUUGGAUUAAUACCUCAUAGUAUAAUUGAAUGGCAUCAUUUACUUAUUAAAGUUCCAACGGUAUAAGAUGAGCAUGCGUCCUAUUAGCUAGAUGGUAAGGUAACGGCUUACCAUGGCAACGAUAGGUAGGGGUCCUGAGAGGGAGAUCCCCCACACUGGUACUGAGACACGGACCGGACUCCUACGGGAGGCAGCAGUGAGGAAUAUUGGACAAUGGGCGCAAGCCUGAUCCAGCCAUGCCGCGUGCAGGAAGAAGCAUCUAUGGUGUGUAAACUGCUUUUGUACGGGAAGAAACACUCCUUCGUGAAGGAGCUUGACGGUACCGUAAGAAUAAGGAUCGGCUAACUCCGUGCCAGCAGCCGCCGUAA